rnacentral:rRNA from 1 species
UACGUAGGGGGCUAGCGUUGUCCGGAUUUAUUGGGCGUAAAGAGCGUGUAGGCGGCCAGGUAGGUCUGCUGUGAAAACUCGAGGCUUAACCUCGAGAUGUCGGCGGAAACCAUCUGGCUAGAGUCCGGAAGAGGAGAGUGGAAUUCCUGGUGUAGCGGUGAAAUGCGUAGAUAUCUGGAGGAACACCGGUGGCGAAGGCGGCGUUCUGGACUGCAACUGACACUGAGGAACGAAAGCCAGGGGAGCAAACGGG